rnacentral:tRNA from 1 species
AGCCUUGAGGUGUUAAGCAUAUUAGAUUGCAAAUCUAAAGGAGUAGAUUAGUCAUCUACCGGGGCUU